rnacentral:lncRNA from 10 species
CUGCCCUCUCCAUGGGUCAGCCCCUUUUGAUAUUUCGGGUUUUGUCUUAGAGGUCUACUCUGAUGUGAUCGUUACAAAAUUUACACAUGUAUCAAAUCAUCACAUUGUUCCCCAUGAAUAUAUAUAAUGAUUCUGUAUCAAUCAAAACUAAAAAAUAAAUAUUUUUAAAAAUAAGUGAAAAUACCUUAAGAAAAAUAAGAUAACAAUGGCUCUCACCUAAGAAAAACCUAAAAAGUAGGUGAUAUGAGUCUGAUUUUCAGGUGAGGAACCUGAAGGUCAGAGUAAUCAUUUAAAACUCAAAUUCAGUCAUGUCACUUCCCAGCUUAAAACAAGUCAACACCUUCCUAUUGCACCUGGAAAUGAAUCCACACUCUGCCCAUCUCCUCCAUCCCAUUUCAUCCUGCACUGGGCCACACUCUGGGCUGCAGCCACCCUGGCCUCUGCCAGAGCCUCGUUCAUGCAUGCCAGACUCUCUCCACUCCGUGAACUUUUGCACAUGCUGAUUCUUCCUCCUGGAAAGCUCUCCCAGCUCUUCAGCUGGAGGGCUCCUUCAAAUCCUAAACACUUCAGCUUUAAAUGCCAUCGCCUCAGAGAAGCCUCUUAGGAGAAUCCUAAGUAAUCCCCUUCUAGCAAUUAGUCUUUAUCAGGGCACCAACUGCAUCCUUCACGUGUUUCACAAUUUAAAUUUCUUAUUGAGUUGCUGGCUUAUUUAUUUUUGGUCUGUCUUUCCCAUUUGGCUAUAAGCCCCAGGAGGACAGAAGCCAUGAUUGUUUAUUCACCCCAAUGGAUCCGGUGCCUAACACAGUGCAUGGCAUACGCAUAUGUGGAAAGCAGACAUGUUUGAAGGGCUCCAGCAAUGCAAACAUGACUCAGAUGAAGGUCUUUGCUUUCAAAGAUCUCAUGAUCAAAUCAGGAAGGGGCACAAAGAGAUGGCCACAGUUGAGUAUGAUCUUUUCUCCAGUAGAUGUAAGUAAGUGACACUACAGCAUCAGGGUACACAACUGUUAACUCUGCAGGCAAGGGCCACCGUGGGUAGUCAGGGAAGACUUUGCAGCAGAGAUAAUGUUUUGGUUUACAUGUUGAAGACUAAGUAGAGAUUUAUUUGUGAGAGCUCCAGGUAAAAUCAUCCCAGAAAGGUGGAUCUAUAUGAAUGGUGGCCCAGAGGUGUGGAGAAUAAGUGAGAAUGAGGCAUUUGGAGGAAAGUAAGUGUCUUUAUGUGAUGUGUAUAGAGGAGCUUUUGAGGGCGGGGGGAACUAGAAGUGGCCAACUGUACCAAGCUCAGGAGACUCAACACUAUCCUAAAGAUAACAGGGGGAGAGAAAAAGGUGUUCAGUAGAGGAAUAAUCAUAUUUAAGUUUAGCUUUUAAAAACUUUUUUAAAUUAUAAAAAUAAUCCAUACUCACUGUAGAAAAGUUUGAAGAUAAUAGAAACGUAUCGAGAAACCAAUGAUCUGUGGCCAGCAUGUAGGUGAGCCCCACUGGCAGUGUGUCCAGCACCAGGAUGAGAAAGGGGUUGGAGCAGGCUGGGACUGGAGGCAGAAGAGCCCUUUAUGAGCCUUACAGGAGUAAAAAGGGAGAGUUGAUGAGGGCCUGAGCCUAGAUGGAGGUUAGGUAAAGGAUGUUGGAAACUUUUAUGAAGAUGAAUCUUUUAGGCAAGGGCAAGCAGUGGGCUAUGGGAGAUGUGAAAGGGGGCUGUGCUCACCCCUCAUCCCCUGAAAGAGAGCUGAGCACCUAAUGCAUAGCAUUAGGUCUAGUCUAGCAUCAGGCAUAAGCAUGAAUGUUUGAUGGCUUCCUCCAGAAACCUCCUGUGGUCCCCUAGCACAUCACAAGAACAUCAUUCAUGGCAGGAAGGUGAAAUGCAGUGAACUUGGGAACUCUACCUCCCUACCCCCACCCACCCCUCAUGCUGCCAUGCUUAGAGUUAGCUAUAAAGUAAGGGGUCUUUCUUGUGUGCAGAAAUGCACUGUUUGCCACAUGGGACAUCAGAAAAGCAGGCCUACAAGGGACCUCAAAAAUCAUCUAGUCCAAUCCCUUAUCAUUGAAUGGGCAAGAAGCUCAUAUUUACUCUGCAAUGGUUUAGUCUUUGUCCUAACUAUAUGUGGUAGGUAUUGUUCUUAUUCUCACUAAACAGAAGCAGAAACUGAGCCAAGAGAGAUUAAGUGUCUCACGUAAGGUCACAGAAAAGGCCAUGACUGCAUUCAAAGUCAGGUCUCUCUGAAUAUAGCUCAUGUCUAUUCUACAGCAGCACACUAUUCCUCCUUUGGAGGAGGGAACUAUAGUCCAGGGAGAUGAACAGUGGCUUGCCUGAAGCAAAUCGUUGGCAGAACAAGAACGACAAGACAGAUCGCUUAAUUCCUACUGCAUACCACUACUUCUUGGGCUGUUGCUAGUCUGUGUCUAUUAUGGGUUUGGCUCUUCACUGAGUGAUGUGGUGGGAGGGGAUGGUGGAUGCAGAACCAAAAAAGCCUGGUUUCGCAUUCCUAGAUGGUUUAUGAUCUUCCUAAGGAGGUGGCUCCAAAGCUGGUGACCAAAAUGACUAAAACAGACUUACAGCCUUCCUUUUCCUUUUCCUUUUCCUUUUCCUUCUCCCAUCUCCCAUACUUUACUCCUUCUCCUUUUAUCAACUGGUCAUCACGGCUGAGGAUAAGAGAUAAAGUACUCAACAAACUCUCAUCCAAAGGGUCCCACCAUAACUGGUAACCAGAGUAGGAAGGAAUGCAUGAAGGAGGUCUUUCAGGAAGGCACUCAAAUCAUAGAUGCCAGCAUUCUGUAGUCGACCUCAAGUUCAGGCAUCAGAUGGCCAAUUGCAUGCUGGCUGUUUUAAGAUGCUUGUUGCAUGGACAUGGGCAGAAAAAAGGAAGCCAGGGAGGAUUGCAAGUCAGGCCAAGUGCCAAUGAUACGGAAACACACAGUCUUUAGAGCCAAUAUCUGCUUCAUGGGAGGACACAGGAUAGAUCUGACUGACUUUUGCUCGCUGUGGUCAGAGGCAGUGAGAGAGAAGAGCAGGGGUCUUGGGCCCAGACAGACAUGGGUUCAAUUUAUAGCACUGAUAAUGUAUAGCUGUGGGACCUCGUGCAGUGAUUUAACCUCUGAAAGUUUUCUCACCUUUAAAUGGUGAGGAAAAUACUGAUGUGAAAAAUAUACAAAAGAAAACACGCAAAGCACCUAGCCUUGCUGGAAACAUCAGUUAAUCAUGAUGAUGAUCAUGAUGAUGACAAUGAUAAUGAUGAUAAUGGUGUUAAUGAUGGUGAUGAAGACUGAUCACAGUCUGCCCUUCUUUUUGAGAAAUUUGGAAAAUGAAAUCUCUUUGAUUCCCACUAAUGCUUUAAGCUGUGUCAAGCAACAGAUGGGUUGGGGAGGUGAAGGGGGAUGACUCAAAUAUUUAGCUCCUGCUCUGUACCAUCUACUACAAAAGGCUCACCUGCAUACUUUUUUCUUCAUCUCAUUUCUCAUGAGAAUCCUGUGAAAUCUGUCUUAUCAUCCAUAUCUUAUGAAUGAGAAAACUGAGGUCAAAGAGGUUAAGUCAUUUUCUCAAAGUCUCAUAGUAAUUAAGUUACAGAGCCAGGAUUUGAUAUCAAGACCACAGGGCCCUCUCUUUUAUUGACUCGACUUCUCGUGAACUACUUGAGAUAGGAUUCCAUGGCUUCUCAACUGUGAGGUUUUUUUGUCGUAUUGGAACAUUUCUGGAUAAACUCUGACCCACAACCAUCCCAGCAAGGAGACCAGAGCAGAAGUCCCAACAAUUAUACCUUGAACUGUGUUGUCUCUGAUAGGCAUCAUUCAUUCCUUUUUAUUCUGCUAUUAUUCAAAAAUUCAGCGGUGUUUAUUGAGUCAGACACUACUUUUGGCCCUAGGAAUAGAAAGAAGAAAGACAGGAGUGAGAUUAAUGAUAGAUAACAGCAAUGUAUUUGUUUGAUACAUUUGAUAGAUGUAAAUCAUAAAUUGUAUGUGGAGGUAUCAGUCAGUAUCCAGUCAGGAGAAAAAAACCAUACCAGCUUUUUUUAAACAAAGAGAAUUCAAUCAAAAGAAUUAUUCACUAGGAAUAAUGAAUUGUUAACUAGGUAACUCAAAGGGCAAAGAGAAAACAAUAAGUUAUUCCGGAUACAGCACAGUUUCCCUUGGACUGAGGAAACAAAAUGAAGAUGUUGGAAUUUUUAAAAUAUAGAAUCUUGGAGAUCAGACCCUGCAGAGCUGAAAUUAAGCUCUUUGAGGAGAGCACCUUUCCUGCUGGUGCUAGUGGUUCUGAAUAUGUUGGAGGCAACCUGUUUAAUUCGGACUUCUGAGAAGGGACCACCAACCAGUUGCUGUUGAUGUUGCUGAGGAAAUACAAUAAAAUGUGUUCUUAAAUGUUGGGAAAAAUCUGAAGCCUGGAUCCAACUGAUGCUACAGGACCAGAAUACUACUUCUGGGAUGGAAUGCAAGACUGGCAUGAUGCUGCUAAGAAAAGGAAGCAGACAGAAUGUUUACAGGAAGUAAAUUGAAAGACAGGAAUUUCUUCUUUUUUCUCCUACCUUGCAGCCUCCUUAUAGUUCCCUCUGUUGGCAACAUUCAACAGGAAUCUGGCUGGAAAAGCAGAAAUGUGGUUUGUAGAGUCCUAUCACAAAACAGUGUAUAGAAGGAUGGGUUUGAAGUUGAUAGACAAUCGUGGACAAGAAUAGAGACUCAAAAUACUGAUUGAGUUAGAGAAGGCUGCCUGGAAGGCAUGGCAUCACUUUCAGAGGAGAGUUUGAAUCUUGAGGGAUGUGAGUAGAACAGAGUAAGAGGAUAAAAUGUUAAUGGUGACAUGAGUUGUUUUAAUAAAUAAAAGUAAAACCCAUAAAAAGACACACAUAGAAGUAAUGUCAACAAAAUGAAGGGAUAGGAGUUUUCAGAACUCAUAUCCUUGCAGAAACAUCAAUUUGAACAACUAUCCAUGUGCAAAAAUAUCUUCACAAGAGCUGAAGGAAUCCAGGAGAGAGAGUACAGCACCCAAGUGGAACACAGAAAUAAGAAAAGAUGCACUAAACAGGGUAGAAAGGACAGUUUCACAUUACCUGUGUCAUCCUUCUCCUAAGCCCAGGCAAUACAUCAUGGAGAUACCCUCUAUGUGGGGGAAGAAGAGUGAAGCGAUCAUCCAUCUUUGCCAUGGACCAUGGCAUUAGGCCUAACCCAGGCUCCAGGCCAGAUCAGACAGCCCCAGCCCGGCUACAAGCCGACUCCCAGGGACUCAGGCUUCAGACCCACCCCAGUUCUCUUGAAGAUCCAGACUCCAGGUGCAUCUCCAUGGACCCAGUUGCUAGGACCACCUCAGUGGAUGCUGAUGCCAGACCAGCACCAGCCCCACUGGACCCAGGGUCCAGGCCUACACCUAUAGAUUCAGUUUUCAGGCCUGCCCCCAUGGACCCACACACCAGGCCUGUCCACACAGACCCAAACUCCAGGCCCACACCAGUGGACCAGUCUCUAGGACCUCCCACAUGAGGACUCCAGCAGCAAGCCCACCCAUGGACCUCAUCAGAUGGCCCACCCAGAACUUCUGAGAAAGUAAGCUGGUGAAGAGAUUAACUUGCUGAAGCUAGUCUGUAAAGACUGAAGGAGGUACCUACAUCAUCAAAUACAGACACCAACACAAGGCAACAAGGAUUAUGUAUAUUCAUAGAAACAUGAUCCCACCAAAUGAACAAAAUAAAGCACCAGUAACCAACACUAAAGAAAUGGAACUAUAUGAAUUGCCUGACAAAUAAUUUAAAAUAAUCCUCUUAAAGAAGCUUAGUGAAGUAUAAGAGAAUACAGAUAGAAAAGUAAACAAAAUCAGAAAAACAAUACAUGGAAAAAAAUGAGAAGUUCAACAAAGAGACAGAAAAAACACAAAAGAACCAAAGAUAAAUUCUGGAGCUGAGAAACACAGUAACUAAACUAAAAAUGUUCAUAAAGAGUUUCAACAGCAGACUCAAUCAAGCAGAUUUAGUGAGUUCAAAGACAGGUAAUUUGAAAUUAUUCAAAGGA